rnacentral:rRNA from 1 species
GCAUCUUUUUAUUUUUAAAAGACCUAGCAAUAGGUAUGCUUAGGGAAGAGCUUGCGUCACAUUAGUUAGUUGGUGGGGUAAUGGCCUACCAAGACGAUGAUGUGUAGCCGGGCUGAGAGGUCGAACGGCCACAUUGGGACUGAGACACGGCCCAAACUCCUACGGGAGGCAGCAGUAAGGAAUUUUCGGCAAUGGAGGAAACUCUGACCGAGCAAUGCCGCGUGAACGAUGAAGUAUUUCGGUACGUAAAGUUCUUUUAUUAGGGAAGAAAAGAUGGUGGAAAAACCAUUAUGACGGUACCUAAUGAAUAAGCCCCGGCUAACUAUGUGCCAGCAGCCGCGGUAAUACAUAGGGGGCAAGCGUUAUCCGGAAUUAUUGGGCGUAAAGGGUGCGUAGGCGGUUAAAUAAGUUUAUGGUCUAAGUGCAACGCUCAACGUUGUGAUGCUAUAAAAACUGUUUAGCUAGAGUUGGAUAGAGGCAAGUGGAAUUCCGUGUGUAGUGGUAAAAUGCGUAAAUAUACGGAGGAACACCAGAAGCGAAGGCGGCUUGCUGGGUCUUAACUGACGCUGAGGCACGAAAGCGUGGGGAGCAAACAGGAUUAGAUACCCUGGUAGUCCACGCCCUAAACGAUGAGUACUAAACGUUGGAUAAAACCAGUGUUGAAGUUAACACAUUAAGUACUCCGCCUGAGUAGUACGUACGCAAGUAUGAAACUUAAAGGAAUUGACGGGACUCCGCACAAGCGGUGGAUCAUGUUGUUUAAUUCGAAGGUACCCGAAAAACCUCACCAGGUCUUGACAUGCUUUUGCAAAGCUGUAGAAAUACAGUGGAGGUUAUCAGAAGCACAGGUGGUGCAUGGUUGUCGUCAGCUCGUGUCGUGAGAUGUUGGGUUAAGUCCCGCAACGAGCGCAACCCUUGUUGUUAAUUGCCAUCAUUAAGUUGGGGACUUUAGCAAGACUGCCAAUGAUAAAUUGGAGGAAGGUGGGGACGACGUCAAAUCAUCAUGCCCCUUAUGACCUGGGCUACAAACGUGAUACAAUGGCUGUUACAAAGGGUAGCUAAAGCGUAAGCUUCUGGCGAAUCUCAAAAAAGCAGUCUCAGUUCGGAUUGAAGUCUGCAACUCGACUUCAUGAAGUUGGAAUCGCUAGUAAUCGCGAAUCAGCAUGUCGCG